rnacentral:lncRNA from 1 species
CGGUUCUCGCGCACCAGGAACUCGCUCUUGAGCGCGCGGCGCGGCCCGCCGCCCUCCUCGGCGCCCGCCGCCAGCUGCUCGGGGCUGCUGGGACCCAGCUGCGCGUAGUGCUCGAUGAAGUCGCCCAGCGAGUCGCGGAACUCGGCGGCCACCGCCAUCGACAGCGUGAGGCGGCUCUUGGAGCCGCCCGCGCCCACCUCGGCGAUCUUGAGGAAGCGGCCCUUGGCGUUCUGCUUCACGUCCAGAGGACCCAGGUUCGAGUCUCGGAACACACACAUGGCAGCCCAUAGCCAUGUAUAAUUCCAGUUCCAGGGGAUCCAGCACCCUCCUCUGGCCUUCUUGAGCACCUGCACACACAUGGUUAACAUACAUGCAGAUUGACUUCUGCUUCUGUUAGGGAGUGCUCUCCCAGGUCAUCAGGUCCUGGGCAUUCAGGUCACAUAGACAAGCAAUGUCUCCAUGUGACAUCACUGUUCCCAACUCUCUAUUUAGCACUGCUCAGACUGGCCUGGCAGUGCAUGGAUAAGCCCAGCUCUCAGGGACAAGAACGAUCAGAAAUGCAGGAGGAGGGGUUCUUGCCUGUUUGUAUGUCAGUGCAUUGCAUGCCCACUGAGGGUGUGAUGGCUACAGAAACUCCAUUUUAUGUUGGGAGUUCAUCUUGGUACCAAAUAGCCAUUUGUCUCUGACUCAAGUUCCUGGAAGACAUUCAAGGACUGUUCUGAAGUCACCUUGACCAUCCAUCUAAUCCGGGUAGAGCAGAACAGCCCCUGUGGGUUUUACCUUUAAAUGUCCUUCCUGCUCCCUCAUCUGACUCUGAUUGAGUGCAGCCUUGCCAGAAGUUCUAAUAAAUUCUGCUAAUUAUAAUCAGAA